rnacentral:precursor_RNA from 1 species
AAAAGUGAUUGCGGUUUGUGCUCUGGAGAGUAAUGGCAGAAACCGCAAUCACUUUUGC